UACAGAGGGGGCAAGCGUUGUUCGGAAUUACUGGGCGUAAAGGGCGCGUAGGCGGCCUUCUAAGUCGAAUGUGAAAUCCUCAGGCUCAACCUGGGAACUGCGUCCGAUACUGGAUGGCUUGAAUCCGGGAGAGGGAUGCAGAAUUCCAGGUGUAGCGGUGAAAUGCGUAGAUAUCUGGAGGAAUACCGGUGGCGAAGGCGGCAUCCUGGACCGGCAUUGACGCUGAGGAGCGAAAGCCAGGGGAGCAAACGGG
rnacentral:rRNA from 1 species